rnacentral:rRNA from 1 species
ACGAACGCUGGCGGCGUGCUUAACACCUGCAAGUCGAACGGAAAGGCCCUGCUUGCCGGGUACUCGAGUGGCGAACGGGUGAGUAACACGUGGGUGAUCUGCCCUGCACUUCGGGAUAAGCCUGGGAAACUGGGUCUAAUACCGGAUAGGAGCCAUUUUUAGUGUGAUGGUUGGAAAGUUUUUUCGGUGUAGGAUGAGCUCGCGGCCUAUCAGCUUGUUGGUGGGGUAAUGGCCUACCAAGGCGGCGACGGGUAGCCGGCCUGAGAGGGUGGACGGCCACAUUGGGACUGAGAUACGGCCCAGACUCCUACGGGAGGCAGCAGUGGGGAAUAUUGCACAAUGGGCGCAAGCCUGAUGCAGCGACGCCGCGUGGGGGAUGACGGCCUUCGGGUUGUAAACUCCUUUCGCUAGGGACGAAGCUUUUUGUGACGGUACCUAGAUAAGAAGCACCGGCUAACUACGUG